UUCCUGAAGAAUUCCAAAGAUCAAUAAAGAUCAAGAGGCCCUCUGGGCAAAGGGCCUGUUCAGUGUGGACUUGAUCACAGGCUGCUGGCCAGCGGGGAAGAUGGAAGUCGCCGGCUUGACUGUGACAUUCACCCCAGCCUUAGAUUUAGGGCAGGACCCUCUCACUCUGUGGUCACCCUUUAUUUUCUCAGCUCUUAUUUAAAAAGAAGAAGAAAAAAAGAAUGUCUGGACAACAGCUAAGGCAGGCAUCCAGAAGUAGGAACACUUUUCUUAGAACACAGCCCAGAUGCAAACAUCAGGAGCAGACACUGCCCAGAUGGCGGCUUUACCCCAGCUGGACUCCUCUGAGGCUUUGGUGGUGGACAGCCCUGUGCCCCAAGCUGGAGUAAGCCGAUUCUCCCCAUGGGGGAAGCAGCACUCCCUGUUCCUGCCUCUCUGCAAUCUCAGCGAGUCCCCAGCCUUACAGAGCUUCAUGCAGAUGGGCUCAAAUUCCUAGAUGCUACGGGAACGUCACCAACUCCAGCGCACUCCCCUUUAAGCCUGUGGCAGUCUCCUCUUCAACCCCACCUUCUCUGGGUUCUUCCCCCAGCCCCUGUUUCCUGGGGGUUUGGCAAAGCCAAGUCACCCUGUGGGUCUCAGCCAUUGGGGACUAAAAGCCUAUCUGCCUCUCCCUCCCCUGGGAGCUCAGAAGUAUGCAUGAAAGGGUGGCCUGGGAGCUGCCUCCCACCUGGCAGCUCACUGGUUCCACCUGCAGCUGUGGAGGGGAUCCUGGCCUCAGGCAAGUCUGCCUCCGUCUGAAGCCCCACUUCCUCAUCGGUCUCUAGGGGGAGUCGUGGUAUCAUCACAGGACUUUGGGUAGUUUUAAAGAGAUAAUAGGUAAAAAUACUUUGUACAACCGUUCAUUAUCAAUGAGAACAUUUGUAUGAGCCUAGCAUGAGAACUGACUCACAUCUAUCCACUUGGGCUCAAUUACUCAAUGGGUUUAUCAGCAGUCAAAGAACCAAUGGAGUCUGGGCUUCACCCAAGGAUUAUGGACUCAUUUUUAUAGGACCUGAGGCAAAUACUAUUAGGAAUACAAAUGCGUUGCUUAAAAAUAUCAUGGGAUAUAUCUCAAAGUAAAUUGAGGACAAGCUUUCAUUGCACCCCCUCCAGGAGAUGAGUGAGUGAACUUGGGGGAAACCGGCCGAUCGGCAGACAUUUAGUUCGGUGUCACUCAUUGCCCCCGGUCCUGUGUUUUGUUCCCCAAAGCCCUACAGCAAGAAAGAAGGGAAGAUGGAAAUGAUUGGGAGUGAAUGUUCAGAACGAGCCUGUUCUCAGACCGGCAAGGUGGGACCCAGUCCCAACUCACCAUUCCACUGUACUGGUGUAGAGACCAGGAGAGACUUAACUAACGGGAAGUGACUUGGCUAACAUCAUGGGGCCAGUGUGGGCAGACUCAGAGCUCAUGCCCAGGCCUUCUGAUGACAAGGCCGGGAUGUUACGUAGGCGUCCCUUCAAAGGGAACCAGUAUCCUCCAACGGUGCCCAUGGUGACCGCUCCAGGACAAACACACUGUCAGCUGACCCACAUCCUAGAUCCUUGACAACUGAGAAAAACUAAAGCAGAACAGAGACAAGCCAGGUGAAAAGAGCAACACAAUGUGUGUGUGUGUGUGUGUGUGUGUGUGUGUAUUGCAAUUCAUUCCAAAGCCAAACAAAUUAUUCUGGCUCAUCUCUGGCCUCUAGCCUCUAUCAGUUUCUGCUCACUCUUCUGUGGACUUAAGUAAAAUACGAAAGGACAGAUGGAAACUGGCAUUCUUAACUCGUGGCCCUGGCUGUGUGAUCUGAAGCAACCUUCCCAAAGCAAGCCUCGGUGUUCUCUCCUCCAAACUUAUGGCAACAUAAUACUGAGAAGUAUGAUGUCUGCAUCAUCAGUCUAAUGCAUGGUAAUAUUGCAGGGUUUUAGAUGAUUAGAAAAUAACAUAUAAAACAGCUAGAACAAUACAUGGCACACAAGAAGUAUAAAAAUCAAUGUUUUCUGACUUUCCCAACCCAACUAACUCCUUUGGUUGUGGAAAUUCAACCUGAUAAUAACUCCAAUGAGAAAAACCCCCCAAACCAGAACUUUCAUGUAACGAUGAUUCCUUAUAAAGCCCAGCGCUCCAGGAUUCCAAAAGAUGUUCAUAGCUCAUUCAGUGUUACCCUCAACAUCUCGGAAGUAUUGGGAAGAUUGUGUCUGUUUUACAGUGGAGGGAGCUGAGACUCAGAGAAAGAAGCUCGCCUGUCCUAAGGUCCUGGGGCUGCGAUGCCCCAUGAGGAGGGAGAUGCUGCUGGUGGGGUCCUGGUCUGGGUGCUUUCCCUUGACUGUCCUGGGAGCAGAGGUAGGUCUCAAUUCUGUGAGGAGCUUUCUGUCAUCAUUCAUAUUCAUGUCCAGAGCUACCCAUUACCCUGGGAGUCACUCCUCUCUGCUUGUCCUUGGCCUCCUUCUAGCAUCAUCCUGGCUUAAGGACCAGGGUCUGAGGCAAGAGGCCCCCAGUGACAAGGUUGUCUCAGAGAGCCCAAGACUUCUUCGUCUUGGGAGGACACCCACUGGCCAUGGCACACAAAUAGCAAGGGAUGCUUUGCUGGGACCCAGUGACAGACUUGCCCAGCUCAAAUGGGGCCAAACUAAAUAUACCCCGUGUUUCCCCACAGCUGUGCUUCCUGCUGCUCUGCUGAGACUGAGCCCAGAGAGGGCCUUCUUUCUGGAGUGCAGAAAGGGCUGAGUCUCCUUGCUUUCCUUGCCUAGGAUUAAGGAUCUAAAGUGCAUUUAUCUGUUGCUCUGUUACUUGGUAUUAGCCAAUUCACUCCUGGACUCAGUCAUUAAACUGCCACUGUCCCAUUUUGACAGAAUGGAAAAGGAUUGAUCGGGCCAUCGUCCAAUGGGAAAGACAAGCACAAUGACUAAGAAUAAGCCCAAGCAGAUUGCUGACAAGUAAAAACGAUGCCAUGUAGACGAAGCUGUUAAUAGGACUUAAGAAAGAACAAGAAUGGAGAAAGGGAAGAACAGAGAGAAGAGAAAGAAAAAGAGGCAAUGUGAGGAAGAGAGGGGGGAAAAGGGAAGCAAAGGAAGGGGGAGAGAAUGAGAGACAGACAGAUAUACGCACUCUCCCCUUUAUGAUUCUACUGACCCACGGAGUUUUUCCGUCCUUGCCAUUUUGGCUGUUUUUGACUCAUUAGAAGUUGUUUUUGAAGCCAGUUCCUAGUCAUGAAACUAAACAUGAAAUGAUCGCUCUGGUGAAGCAAAAGCAUCAAACAAAUGACCUAUCAGGAUCCAAGAGCAGCCACGCAGAAAGCCCAUGGGCUGAAGCAGGUGGUGGCCUGGUGCUGCUGCUGAUCAACUGGACUACUGUGGGCAGCUGACAUCACCUCCUGAGCAUCACUUUCUUCAUCUGUAAAGUGAAUUCGGAAGUGUCAAGUGGAGUUGUUGUGAGAAUUAAAUAAAACAAGCCAGCUUUUUUAGCCAAUUAGACUUUCCUAUCAAACAAUUCCUUCUUAAAAACAAAUUGAUAGUGGUUUUACUUUAAAAACCUAAUAUAAAUUGAUACCCAACAUGGCGUUUUGGAAAGCUUUUAUUUAGAGGAAGAGUUAGGAGCAGUUUGCUACCUCUUGCACUAAUUCUUCUUAUAAAAUAACCAGUAAAGCCUCUUCUUCAAACCCAGCACCAGGAGCGAGGCCUUUACCUCCUCUAGGACCUGACACUGGGAACCCACUGUUGCCUUUGUCCUGGUGGCUGGCCAGGAUCUGCCAUUUCCUUCUGCACUACAAUAAUUCUCCUGUCUUCCCUUCACAGCCCUUCCUUUUCUUUCCGUGGUUUUAGUAGGAAAAACAACUAAAUUCUGAAUUUCUCCUUAUAAGUGUGUUUUUCUACCUGCCAACAUUUGCUGGUCAACUUGCUACUUUCUGAAGCCCCAAGGUCCUGGAUCCAAAUUUGCAUUCAACGCAUGUUUGCCUUAAUCUUGGAUCUACCAAAUAUUUUCCUUAGGCUUUGAACAUGAGCUGUAUUCCUUAGUUAUUACAAUGCAAAAUGCCAUUCCAACAGCAAUUCUGAUUCACUCCAAACCCCGUUAUACUACGGAAAUUCAACAGAUCACCAAUUGAGGGGGCACCAUGGAAGCACAGUGCCCCCAUCUUUCUUUAUUUGGAGUUCAAAAUCCAGCAUGGUCCAGGGAUCACCACCAGCCUCCUCCUUUCCCUAAAUUCCAGGAUUGUUAACUCUGGAGGAUUCAUCAAAGGAGAGUUACAUUCUCCCUGCUGACACGCCACACAGCCCCUUCCCAUUUCCAGGGGGUUUGUGCAAGCUGUAAAUCCCUGGGGCAUCUGAAUUCCCCUUAAACAAAAGUCUGUCUCCUAACCAAACAGAAUCUUCUUGAACCAAACAGAACCUUCUUGAAGUCAGCAAAAUGGCUACUUUGUGGCAUUAAAAGGAUUUUUCCUCCUAUAGCCUUGUUUUCUUUUGGCCUCCCUUCCUCCCAGAACUUAAGAAGCAAAUGGGAAGAGAAGUGUGCGAGGAAAAGAAUGAAAGGAACAAUGACGUAUAAUAUCCCAAAAAAGAUCUCUGACCAGUAAUGAUAGGGUUGCUAGCUGGGAAGCAAGGAUCACUGAAACCACAGCCUUUUCACUGUCUUAGAAGCUAUAAUCACACUCUAAACAUAAAGGUAUGGCAUCCAAACCACCCACUGUUCCCUCCCAGUGAGGGCCUGGAAGCCACACUCUCAGUUACACUGUCAUCAUAUGGGUCACAUUUUGCCACUAGGAGCUCAAUGCUGCGAUUCUGGAUAGCAUUCUUGAUCUGGGUCUCCAUGUAAUUACGACUGACUAUGGGCUGUAGAGGUGGAGAGUUAUAAAGCUCUAUAAUGGCCCUAUUAGUAAAAUGAGGCUCAAAUUCGAUGGUAUGGGCACAAACGUACACGUAUAUGCUCAGAAGUCUUUCUGUAACACAAAGAACCCAUGUGGUACACAAACCCAAUUCUGUACUGAACCUACAUAAAAUGAAAAUACUGGCUAUAAAUUUUAACAUGUAAUUAAUUGCUUGCCUUCUUAGAGUUUAAAGGCCUGUGGACAGAUGUUUUGAAUAAACUAAGCUUCUUAAUAUAUAUAAAAAAGGCAAGUUAAAACUGGUAUUUAUUCUUCUUCAAUAUAUUUUUCUGUAGCCAAUGUAAGUAUUUAAGAAGUUGUCAGUGUUUUUAAGCUUGAGGAGGUCAGGAUCCAUACGUUAUGUUAACUGGAUAGAUUGUAUAGUGUCCAAAGUACCUGUGCAUAACAUGGGAAGACAAAGGAGGUGGCUCCAGGCUGCCCCGCAGAGUGCCUGGUAUUAAUCUGAAAACAAACUGUGCCUCUACUCAUUGCCAAGCAAACGCUGACUUCACUGGUGCCUGUUGUCUUCAUUAGAAGCUCUGCAUCAAAACAAAUACUCUAAUAAAUAUGCUUGUUAUA